GAUACCUGGAAAUGUGGCAACCAUCUUUCAUUCACAAGACUAGCAGCUUAAGAUAAAGCCAAAAAGCCAAGGGCAGGAGAGCAGAAACAGCCUAGGUCCUUUAUGUGUCAUGGAGCACUGUAGCUUGGGGCUGCCAGUAUCCAGACUGUUCAUGUCGGGAAAUUUUGAGGAACUCUAGCUGAUUCACCUUGGUUCAUUUGAUCACCUGUAGACCAAUCAGCUGUGAUAAGAACUGUGGAGUCUUGGGAUAACUUGUCCGUGCCUGCCAGAGACACACAGGAAUAAGCCUUGAAGGCAGCCAGAAUGACUGUCUAGUUAGUUCCCUUGUCAACAAUGCAAAACAUUGUCACAUAUGCUCCGAGGACUGUUCUGGCACCAAAAUAAGAAGGAGCUCAAUGAACAUUUGUACAACAAAUGAAUCUUGCUGUGGGGACAUCACAUUAAGGAAGAACAUUUAGAACGUCAUUACAUUCUAUUGAUUUCAAAUUCAAUGAAAGUUCAAAGAAGAGCAAAAUCAACAUGAACUGGAACGUGUAUUGAAGGAGUUAUGGAUGUUACAAG